rnacentral:sRNA from 1 species
GUCAGCGACCCCACAGGUGAACCUGGGGGCUUGUCCGAAGCCGCUCCGUGCGGUCUGGGACAGGACCCGAUGCUGACCAGCCCCCUUGGUGCGAGCACCAAGGAGCCGUUGUCUGGAGGUGCCCACGUUCGGACCAUUCGGUAGCUUUUCCAGCCGGAUGCUCUCCAAUCCCCAUGUUAAACAGGUUGGCGGCUUGCCCGCUGGUGUCCGGUUGGUGCGCUCUCUUUGGAACUGGUGCGUUUUGACCUGGCGCUGCUGCAAAACCCCGCGAUCGAGGGG